rnacentral:rRNA from 1 species
GAAAUUUAAUAGGGUCAGCCUGCCCAGUGGCUUAAGCUAAACGGCCGCGGUAUCUUGACCGUGCAAAGGUAGCAUAAUCACUUGUCUUUUAAAUGGAGACUUGUAUGAACGGCGAAACCUUUUUCAACUGUCUCUCCUCCCACCCUUCAAAAUUUCUUUCCGUGUGAAGAAGCACAGAUAUACCAGAAAGACGAGAAGACCCUGUCGAGCUUUAACCAUUAAGUGAACACUCCUAUUUACUUAGAUAUCACCUAAAGGUUUUGGUUGGGGCAACCGUGGAGAAAAAAAAUCCUCCAGAAUAAAUAGAAGAAAACCCUUCACUAAUUAUCAACACUUAAAGAACCAGGAACUGGUAUUCGGAAAAAGUUACCGCAGGGAUAACAGCGUUAUCUCCUCUGAGAGUCCUUAUUGACGAGGAGGCUUGCGACCUCGAUGUUGGAUUAGGGCCCCCUUAGGGUGCAGAAGCUCUAAACGGUUAGACUGUUCGUCUAUUAAAGCCCUACGUGAUCUGAGUCCAGACCGGAACGAUUAAAGUCCUACGUGAUCUGAGUUCAAACCGGAUUUU